UACGUAGGGGGCGAGCGUUAUCCGGAUUUACUGGGCGUAAAGCGGGCGUAGGCGGCUUGUCAAGUCGGAUGUGAAAUCUCCCGGCUCAACCGGGAGGGUGCAUUCGAAACUGACAGGCUAGAGUGCAGCAGAGGAAGAUGGAAUUCCCGGUGUAGUGGUGAAAUGCGUAGAUAUCGGGAAGAACACUAGUGGCGAAGGCGGUCUUCUGGGCUGUAACUGACGCUGAGGUCCGAAGGCGUGGGGAGCAAACAGG
rnacentral:rRNA from 1 species